UUCGACUCAGAAGAAACGUCGUCCGAGCUUAAGGAGAUAAAGUCACCUCAAGUGAUUCAACAGAAGAAAAAGGUAAGGUUUUUGGUACCGGAGAGUCCAAAAAUAGACUCAGAAGCAAAAGAAGAAUUAGAGGAAGUGAUGGAAGCAAGAGAAGCUGGAAUAGCUUACAUUAUAGGACAUUCAUACAUGAAGGCUAAACCAGGGUCUAGUACUAUAAAGAAAAUAGCUAUUAAUUUUGUUUAUGAAUUUCUAAGGAGGAAUAGUAGAGCACCUUCAUUUGUACUUGGUGUACCUCAUGCAUCAUCUUUAGAAGUUGGUAUGAUGUACCAAGUUUAAAUUUUGGUUUAAAAAAUGAUAGAGUUAUUAUCAAUGUACAUAUUUUUAUUGUUAUAUAGUUUAGUUAAAAGGCCACACACCAUGUCAAGUGGUGGUAGAUAGAUAGUAGUGUACAAGUUUUUCCCUUCUUUAUUACGGUUAUACCUUAUCACUUACAAUUCAUUUGGCAUUUUUUUUGAACAAAAUUCAUUUGGCAUUUUGUUUUUUCAUUAAGCCAAUAGUAAUUUAUAUCUCAGUUGUUUAUAUGCUCUCUCAGUUUGGCUGAGUGUUUAUUUAUACUUUUGUUGGACAAAACAUGAUGUUGCAUGAGAAAUCUGUUUUAAGGACAAAACAUGAUGUUGCGUUUGUCUCUGCACGUUUGAGGUGUGACCUAUAUUUACAUCCACAUUAUCACAUGCAUGUACUGUAUGUAUGCUUUAGGCAUAUAACUUAAAUAACAAGUGCAAUGUGUUUGAUUGGGCAGUUUUCGAUUUGUGAUCGGCGCUUGUAAAGAGUAUCCUUUGUAGAAUGUCCUUGUGAUCGGUGCUAUAUAUACUUGUCUCGUCUUUGUUCAUCAUUCGCAUCCAACUUUAGCGUUUUCAAAAUUGUUUCACUUGCUUUUCGGUUUUCGGAUAAAAUGGCUGAUGCCUUUGAUUCUCUAUGCGACACCGUGUCUGGUAAGGAUUCUUGGUGGUUCUGAAGGCUGAUCAGAUAAAUUCUCUUGAAAUGGUGCUCAUCGAUGACAUGGUUUGUUUCAAAUUUCUUGAAAUUCAGGUUCAAUGUGUAGAUAUUUGAGUUAGGCCAUAGUUGUCCUUAUUAUGUUCUGCAUUUGCUAUAUAUAUAUAUGUAUAUAUAUAUAUAUGGCUUUUUAAGCGCAUCCAUUAGUUCUUCUUUCUGGUUGAUCUAUUUUUGUUGCAGUGGAAUUUCGUAUUCGACCUAUUUGUGCACACACCGAGUUUAUUUUGCCUAAUAAUCAAUGAUCAUCCCUUUCGUGAUAGUUUUGUGNNNNNNNNNNNNNNNNNNNNNNNNNNNNNNNNNNNNNNNNNNNNNNNNNNNNNNNNNNNNNNNNNNNNNNNNNNNNNNNNNNNNNNNNNNNNNNNNNNNNUCGUAUUCGACCUAUUUGUGCACACACCGAGUUUAUUUUGCCUAAUAAUCAAUGAUCAUCCCUUUCGUGAUAGUUUUGUGGAACUCCACCUAUUAAUCAUGAUAAUCAUAUUGGUGCAAAUAUUUGACUUUAAUUUUUUUUUAAGAAGCUAAAUUAUUCCACCUAGUUCUCGUGAGCUUAACUCGGUUGGUAGGGAGAAAUAUUACACUAUAUGUGCAGGAGUUGAGAUUCGAACCCCGGACACUCCCCUUAUUCACCUAUAAAUUUUUUAGCCACUACGCUACUUGACCAAAAAUAUUAAAUGACCCAAAUUGACACAAGAAAUAAUCGAACAAGAGACCUUAAAGAUGAGUCACUCCCAGGUCCCAAGCAAAUACAGACCAACCUGGAUGAGUUUUAUUUGACUUUAAUUAUAACUACUUUUUAUUUUUUGAAGGUAUGCCUAUGAGUGGUUAAUAAUACUCCACACUAAAUCGGAGUAAUUCAUAUAAUAAUAAUAAUAAUAAUAAUGAUUUUACUAUCAUGUGCAAAUUUGCAUAUAGGAAGAAAUUGAAAACCGUUUGUAUUGGAAUUUGUAUAUUUUAUAUUAAAUAUAUAACUUUUAAAUUAAUAAUUAUUAUUUUUUAUAUAUUUUAAUUAAUUAUUAUUAUUUUUUAUAUAAAAAGUUACUACAUGUAGUUGCUUUAACAUGUCCAAUAAUAUUGCACAUGUUAGACAAACCUAAUAAUAAUAAUAAGGUUUAAAUAUGUUGUUAGACUAUAUCAAAAAAUAUAGUAUAUGUUAUUGGUCUUGUAUCACAUUUUCAUAUUAAUCCCUAUAGUUUUUUUUUAUUUGGUUUGAGUUCCCACACUUUCAAAAGUUUUGGUUUUAGUCCCUACUAUUGGUGUGGUGUUAAAAAAAUAAAUGAAGACACGUUUCAUAAGUUUUUUUUUUAUCUGCUUACAUCUAAAACUUAAUUAUGAUGUCGAAAUUUCUCAUACUUGUGUAAUAGUAUUUUUUUCCUUCAAAAUUGCAAGUACGUAAACUCAUUUACCAGGGACAAAUUUAACACUAUGUAAAAUCAAUUCACUUCCUCCUGCGUGAAUUCAUUUCAUGGACAUGAUUUUAGUAAAUAAAAAAAAUCGUGAAAUUAGAUGCAAGUAUUUUAUGUGCAAUUGGGUUGCAUGUGGUGAAAAAAUUAUUUUUCAAAGAAUUUAAUUUAUAUAUAUAGUUGGUGUAAAAUUAUUUUACACAUGCGUUCAAUAAUAUACCGACACAUCACGUAUGAUAUUUAAAAACAACAUGGUGUGUCACAUUCAUUAAAUGAUGUGACGAAGCAUCAUUGAAUGUAUGUGUAAGAAAUCUUUACACUGACGGUGCACAACAAUUAAACUCAUUUUCAAAUUCAGGGUGUAACCAAAAGUAUUUGAAUUUUUCUCUUUCCACCCCCCAAUGUUUCUUCCAAGCCCCUUGAAAUUCCAAUUUUACCCUUAUAAAUAGUUUUUAGAAAAGGUUUUCCAAAAUUUAUAUUUUUUUGGAAUCAAUUUUUCAAAAUAGACUUAAAUGUAAUUUUUAGAUCUAUUUAUUUCCAUUCACAUUCAAUUGUUUCAUAUUCUAUUUUUCAAAAAGUUAACUAUUUCGGAAAAAAUUUCCAAAAUUCAAAUAUUUUGGAACGCAGAAUCCAAAUUUUUUUUGGAAAACAUUUUCCAAAGUGAUUUUGGAAAACGUUUUCGGAAAUCCUGUUAUCUGUGAUCAAAACUGCAAAUGUGCUGCUCUAACCUAAAUUUUCGUCGGUCUAAAUCAUUUUUUAUUCUAUUUUUAACACUAAUCUGUAUCCAAAAUAUAAUUGUGUUGAUGAAUGAGAGUUAUGCACACUUGCAGACGGGCAUAUAAUGUUUUGCAGCAAACCUGAAUUAAUUAAACAAAAUAAUUAACAUAUGAGAAGCUUGCGAAAGAUAGAUAAAAUUUGAUAAAUAUUUUGACUAAAAAGUGAUUGAGACCGAUGAAAAAUAAAGUUAGAAAAUAAAGUCACCUCAAGUGAUUCAACAGAAAGAAAAAAAAAAGGGUAAGGUUUUUGGUACCGGAGAGUCCAAAAAUAGACUCAGAAGCAAAAGAAGAAUUAGAGGAAGUGAUGGAAGCAAGAGAAGCUGGAAUAGCUUACAUUAUAGGACAUUCAUACAUGAAGGCUAAACCAGGGUCUAG
rnacentral:lncRNA from 1 species